AGAAUCAACGCUGGCGGCGUGCCUAACACAUGCAAGUCGAACGAGAAAGUGGAGCAAUCCAUGGGUACAGUGGCGUACGGGUGAGUAACACGUGACUACCUACCCUCGAGUGGGGAAUAACCUCGGGAAACCGGGGCUAAUACCGCAUAAUGUCUUCGGACCAAAUGCGUAAGCAGCUUGAGGAGGGGUCGCGGCCGAUUAGCUAGUUGGUGAGGUAAUGGCCCACCAAGGCAAUGAUCGGUA
rnacentral:rRNA from 1 species